UUAGAUGGGAUCACUCAAGGUGUCGCUCUGAACGGGAGGGCGGAGAAUUGGGAAGCCGGUCAGAUCCCGGCGCUGCCCCCGCAACGGUGGUGGAGUGUGUGCUUCGGCAAAGAGCCACUGGGCGGGGAGCCCGGGAAGGCGCCGCAGCCGUCCGCAAGGACAGCUCUUGAGCCCGGAAACCAGCCUUGUCACGAAACAGAUG
rnacentral:ncRNA from 2 species